rnacentral:lncRNA from 1 species
AUUUUUUUUUUAUUUUUUUUGGUCCCCAGCCUGCCAGUGCAACGGGCACAGCAAAUGUGUCAACGAGAGCAUCUGUGAGCAGUGCGAGAACCUGACCACCGGCAAACACUGCGAGACGUGCAUCUCCGGUUACUAUGGAGACCCCACGAACGGAGGGACCUGCCAGCCCUGCAAGUGUAACGGCCACGCAUCCAUCUGCAACACCAACACCGGGAAGUGUUUCUGCACAACCAAAGGGAUCAAAGGAGAAGAAUGCCAGCUGUGUGAAGUCGAGAAUCGAUACCAGGGUAACCCUCUCAAAGGAACCUGCUACUAUACCCUUCUCAUCGACUAUCAGUUCACCUUCAGCCUCUCCCAAGAAGAUGAUCGCUAUUACACCGCAAUCAAUUUCGUGGCAACACCGGAAGAGCAAAACAGAGACCUGGACAUGUUUAUCAAUGCUUCGAAAAACUUCAACCUCAACAUCACUUGGUCGACAAGCUUUGCAGCUGGGACACAGGCCGGAGAGGAGAUUCCAGUGGUUUCAAAGAACCAGGUCAAGGAAUAUAAGGACAGCUUCUCCAAUGAGAAAUUUGAUUUCCGCAACAAUCCCAACAUCACUUUCUUUGUCUACGUCAGCAACUUCACCUGGCCCAUAA